rnacentral:rRNA from 1 species
GACGAACGCUGGCGGCGUGCUUAACACAUGCAAGUCGAACGGAAAGGCCCUGCUUUUGUGGGGUGCUCGAGUGGCGAACGGGUGAGUAACACGUGAGUAACCUGCCCUUGACUUUGGGAUAACUUCAGGAAACUGGGGCUAAUACCGGAUAGGAGCUCCUGCUGCAUGGUGGGGGUUGGAAAGUUUCGGCGGUUGGGGAUGGACUCGCGGCUUAUCAGCUUGUUGGUGGGGUAGUGGCUUACCAAGGCUUUGACGGGUAGCCGGCCUGAGAGGGUGACCGGCCACAUUGGGACUGAGAUACGGCCCAGACUCCUACGGGAGGCAGCAGUGGGGAAUAUUGCACAAUGGGCGGAAGCCUGAUGCAGCAACGCCGCGUGCGGGAUGACGGCCUUCGGGUUGUAAACCGCUUUCGCCUGUGACGAAGCGUGAGUGACGGUAAUGGGUAAAGAAGCACCGGCUAACUACGUGCCAGCAGCCGCGGUGAUACGUAGGGUGCGAGCGUUGUCCGGAUUUAUUGGGCGUAAAGGGCUCGUAGGUGGUCGAUCGCGUCGGAAGUGUAAUCUUGGGGCUUAACCCUGAGCGUGCUUUCGAUACGGGUUGACUUGAGGAAGGUAGGGGAGAAUGGAAUUCCUGGUGGAGCGGUGGAAUGCGCAGAUAUCAGGAGGAACACCAGUGGCGAAGGCGGUUCUCUGGGCCUUUCCUGACGCUGAGGGGCGAAAGCGUGGGGAGCGAACAGGCUUAGAUACCCUGGUAGUCCACGCUGUAAACGGUGGGUACUAGGUGUGGGGUCCAUUCCACGGGUUCCGUGCCGUAGCUAACGCUUUAAGUACCCCGCCUGGGGAGUACGGCCGCAAGGCUAAAACUCAAAGGAAUUGACGGGGCCCCGCACAAGCGGCGGAGCAUGCGGAUUAAUUCGAUGCAACGCGUAGAACCUUACCUGGGUUUGACAUGGAUCGGGAGCGCUCAGAGAUGGGUGUGCCUCUUUUGGGGUCGGUUCACAGGUGGUGCAUGGCUGUCGUCAGCUCGUGUCGUGAGAUGUUGGGUUAAGUCCCGCAACGAGCGCAACCCUUGUUCACUGUUGCCAGCACGUUAUGGUGGGGACUCAGUGGAGACCGCCGGGGUCAACUCGGAGGAAGGUGGGGAUGACGUCAAGUCAUCAUGCCCCUUAUGUCCAGGGCUUCACGCAUGCUACAAUGGCUGGUACAGAGAGUGGCGAGCCUGUGAGGGUGAGCGAAUCUCGGAAAGCCGGUCUCAGUUCGGAUUGGGGUCUGCAACUCGACCUCAUGAAGUCGGAGUCGCUAGUAAUCGCAGAUCAGCAACGCUGCGGUGAAUACGUUCCCGGGGCU